rnacentral:lncRNA from 1 species
CAGAACAAAGCGGACUCCAUUUUGCUAUCUUCACGAUAACAAAAACACAUAAUUUCCUUGAUUUCUUCUUACUUCUGUAACUAGCCACUUGCUUGAGCUGAGGAAUGUAUUACAUAAACAAACCAAGAUAAGCAAUGAAACAAGGGGGAUGGAACGCACUGUCUAAAAUGUUAAUGGAAUAGAUGCAUUAUCUAAACACAGACACUAGUGACAGAGAAGAUUAAGUAAUUAAUUUUACUUUCUAAAUUUUACAAGGUUCCAUUGUAAAAUAAGAGGUGAAAUUGAGUUUAGAACUGUCAAUUUUACAAGUUAUGAUCAAAGUAGAUGCCAUAAAGACUGGCACAAACGCUUUGAACUGACAGCAAAUCUAAAUUAUGGUAGUCAUUUUAGAUAAGCCAAAUGACGUCAAAAUCGUCAUCAGGAAAAGUGAACUCUUUCCUGGAUAGGAAGGUUUCGUUAGACGAGACUGCCAUCUAUGGAUCAAAUACCUAAAUUGCGAUCCAUCGAUUGGACACACCUACGGCUGCCUAUUGGUUUAUCAACUAAUGACGUACAGAGAGUCUGGCCCUUUAAAAGUUAGGCCAAAGGGAAGACAGGGUGGUUGGAGUUGGAGACAGAGAGAGAUGAAUUGAAGUUUGGGGAAUCCAAGUCGGACAUGCAGAGAAAUCCAGGACAAUAUCUGGGACUAACACUCUACCCUUAAACUCUCUUGGACAUAAACUCUUAAACUCUUUAAUACUUUUUCUAUCACUCACGCACCUCCAUACAACCAAUCAAGUUUCUGGGACUACCUACUCAUCUGAUGAGAAUAUCUACAUAACUGGUAACUAUGCUGGUUUAUUUAAU